GCGGGUGUAGCUCAGCUGGUUAGAGCGCUGGCCUGUCACGCCAGAGGUCGCGGGUUCAAGUCCCGUCACUCGCGCCA
rnacentral:tRNA from 1 species